AACGCUGCGCGGCGUGCUUAUCACAUGCAAGUCGAACGGUGAAGCCCCGCUUGCGGGGUGGAUCAGUGGCGAACGGGUGAGUAACACGUGAGCAACCUGCCCUGGACUCUGGGAUAAGCGCUGGAAACGGCGUCUAAUACUGGAUAUGAGCUCUCAUCGCAUGGUGGGGGUUGGAAAGAUUUUUUGGUCUGGGAUGGGCUCGCGGCCUAUCAGCUUGUUGGUGAGGUAAUGGCUCACCAAGGCGUCGACGGGUAGCCGGCCUGAGAGGGUGACCGGCCACACUGGGACUGAGACACGGCCCAGACUCCUACGGGAGGCAGCAGUGGGGAAUAUUGCACAAUGGGCGGAAGCCUGAUGCAGCAACGCCGCGUGAGGGAUGACGGCCUUCGGGUUGUAAACCUCUUUUAGCAAGGAAGAAGCGAAAGUGACGGUACUUGCAGAAAAAGCGCCGGC
rnacentral:rRNA from 2 species